ACGAACGCUGGCGGCAGGCUUAACACAUGCAAGUCGAGCGCAUCCUUCGGGGUGAGCGGCGGACGGGUGAGUAACGCGUGGGAACGUGCCCUCUUCUACGGAAUAGCCUCGGGAAACUGAGAGUAAUGCCGUAUACGCCCGCAAGGGGAAAGAUUUAUCGGAGGAGGAUCGGCCCGCGUUGGAUUAGGUAGUUGGUGGGGUAACGGCCUACCAAGCCGACGAUCCAUAGCUGGUUUGAGAGGAUGAUCAGCCACACUGGGACUGAGACACGGCCCAGACUCCUACGGGAGGCAGCAGUGGGGAAUCUUGGACAAUGGGGGCAGCCCUGAUCCAGCCAUGCCGCGUGAUCGAUGAAGGCCUUAGGGUUGUAAAGAUCUUUCAGCUGGGAAGAUAAUGACGGUACCAGCAGAAGAAGCCCCGGCUAACUCCGUG
rnacentral:rRNA from 1 species